rnacentral:rRNA from 1 species
AUACGUAGGUGUCGAGCGUUAUCCGGAUUUACUGGGCGUAAAGGGCGCGCAGGCGGUUUGGUAAGUCAGAUGUGAAAGCCCACGGCUCAACCGUGGAAGUGCAUUUGAAACUGUCAGACUUGAGUACUAGAGGGGAAAGUGGAAUUCCGGGUGUAGAGGUGAAAUUCGUAGAUAUCGGGAGGAAUACCGGUGGCGAAGGCGACUUUCUGGCUAGAUACUGACGCUGCGGCGCGAAAGCGUGGGGAGCAAACAGGAUUAGAAACCCUAGUAGUCC